rnacentral:rRNA from 1 species
AGUGAACGCUGGCGGUAGGCCUAACACAUGCAAGUCGAACGGCAGCACAGUAAGAGCUUGCUCUUACGGGUGGCGAGUGGCGGACGGGUGAGGAAUACAUCGGAAUCUACUUUUUCGUGGGGGAUAACGUAGGGAAACUUACGCUAAUACCGCAUACGACCUACGGGUGAAAGCAGGGGAUCUUCGUACCUUGCGCGAUUGAAUGAGCCGAUGUCGGAUUAGCUAGUUGGCGGGGUAAAGGCCCACCAAGGCGACGAUCCGUAGCUGGUCUGAGAGGAUGAUCAGCCACACUGGAACUGAGACACGGUCCAGACUCCUACGGGAGGCAGCAGUGGGGAAUAUUGGACAAUGGGCGCAAGCCUGAUCCAGCCAUACCGAGUGGGUGAAGAAGGCCUUCGGGUUGUAAAGCCCUUUUGUUGGGAAAGAAAAGCAGCAGGUUAAUACCCCGCUGUUCUGACGGUACCCAAAGAAUAAGCACCGGCUAACUUCGUG